rnacentral:misc_RNA from 1 species
AAAACAAUCAACCUUGACUUUGGUUUUACUACCAUUGACUUGGCUUGGACUUGGGUGUUUGCCAUCUUCAUUGAUGGCUCACCUUAAAUUGAUUAGCUGGACUUGUCUUGAGGACUGGUUUGACUUGGCGUAAUAAGUAUUUCGCUGAGGACAUCUUAACCGAUGGCCAUCCACUUGACUACCGUCUGCUUUCUAACCCUGUUCUCUCUCUGAGAGACGUUUUUUAUAC